AUUGAACGCUGGCGGAAGGCCUAACACAUGCAAGUCGAACGAGUGGCGGACGGGUGAGUAAUGUCUGGGAAACUGCCUGAUGGAGGGGGAAAACUACUGGAAACGGUAGCUAAUACCGCAUACCAACGGAUGUGCCCAGAUUGGAUUAGCUAGUGGGUGGGUUAAAGGCUCACCUAGACGAAGAUCCCUAGCUGGUCUGAGAGGAUGACCAGCCAACCGGGAACUGAGCCACGGUCCAGACUCCUACGGGAGGCAGCGUUGGGGAAUAUUGCACAAUGGGCGCAAGCCUGAUGCAGCCAUGCCGCGUGUAUGAAGAAGGCCUUCGGGUUGUAAAGUACUUUCAGCGGGGAGGCGUUACCCGCAGAAGAAGCACCGGCUAACUCCGUGCCAGCAGCCGCGGUAAUUC
rnacentral:rRNA from 1 species